AUGUUAACGGACAUUGUGGUACUUGGUCUCCGCAGCGCAGUUGCACAAAAACAUCGUCGGACUUGGACGAAUCCAGAGGCGUGCACGUGCGGUGGUGGUCGUCCAUGGAGGGGCGCUAGUUGCCGGAGAAGAGCCACGACACGGGGCUCGGCGAAGAAGGCGGCGCGCAGGAAGAGCAGUUGCAGCAGGGCAGCGUCGCUACAUGCACGAGAGGAGGAAGGCCCUGGUAGAGGCAGGCACUGGGCGCUUGGGGCGCCGAUGGAGGUCUCCACAAGGAGAAGGGUGCGACGGGGGCCUGGAGGUCAAGGAGGCAGACAGUAG
rnacentral:rRNA from 1 species